UUUUACUUACUCCGUGAA
rnacentral:snRNA from 1 species